rnacentral:rRNA from 1 species
UACGAAGGGGGCUAGCGUUGUUCGGAAUUACUGGGCGUAAAGCGCGUGUAGGCGGGUCUUUUAAGUCAGGGGUGAAAUGCCAAGGCUCAACCUUGGAACUGCCUUUGAUACUGGAGAUCUUGAGUCCGGGAGAGGUGAGUGGAACUGCGAGUGUAGAGGUGAAAUUCGUAGAUAUUCGCAAGAACACCAGUGGCGAAGGCGGCUCACUGGCCCGGAACUGACGCUGAGACGCGAAAGCGUGGGGAGCAAACAGGG